rnacentral:rRNA from 1 species
UACAGAGGUGGCAAGCGUUUGUUCGGAAUUACUGGGCGUAAAGGGCGCGUAGGCGCCUUUCUAAGUCAGACGUGAAAUCCCCCCGGCUUAACCUGGGAACUGCGUUCUUGAUACUGGGAGGCUUGAGUAUGGGAGAGGGAUGUAGAAUUCCAGGUGUAGCGGUGAAAAUGCGUAGAUAUCUGGAGGAAUACCGGUGGCGAAGGCGGCAUCCUGGACCUUACUGACGCUGAGCGCGAAAGCUAGGGAGCAACAGG